rnacentral:piRNA from 1 species
UGCCCACAAAUAGGAUGGUUUUCAUGAUGA